CCAACUUCAGCACCGAGGUGUUUCUUUCUCCCAUCGUCUUAUUCUCUCUAUCUAUAUUUCUGCCUUUAACCAUUGUAAAUCCUUCGCUUUCCUUUGCUUUUUUAUUCCGAGUUUUCCCCCUUUUAUUUUGUGAGCCCUGUAUAAUAUUGAAACCCUUAUUGUUGUUGCUUGAACUUAGCUACCUUUCCCUUCCCUUCCCUUUCUCAUGAAUCGCUUCAAUUUAAGUUCAAUUUGGGUAAUUCGCCAUGAUUUCUUCUUCCAAUUGCGGUCAACCUAGUUCGCUGGAUCUGGGCUCGUCCAUAUUUGCGAUAAAGUUAGGGUUUUCUCCCCCAAUUUUGUCCCAAAUAUUGACGGAUUUUCGUUUCUGAAUGUCCAAUUUUGUCACCAGAAGUGUGUCUUGUUGAAAUUACCUCCCUUUAAACCUGGGUUUCUUUGAUUAAAACCCUUCAAAGGGGAGAAAACCCCUUUUUACUGGUUUCUCGUUUGUCCGUAGCCUUAGUUGUUUGGAAUUUGUAAUAAAGUAAGCUUCUUUCUAGCUUGCACUGUGAUGGCGGAAGAGACUUCGGAUGCUAUGAACCUUGAUUUGAAUCUGGGUCCAGGCCCUGACCCAACCAUAUCAACUGAUGGUCUGAACUUGGAUGAUUGGAUUGAGGAGCCUCUUCAGAGAAUCAGUGAAGCUGUGAGGCUCAGGGGGAGGCAACGGUGGAGGUGGCGGCAUAUCCCUAUACCUCCUCCCGAAGUUCCGCUUCACCUUCCCCCGGAAGCCCCUAGGCAAUUUCAUAUACCCCCUGAAGCAAGGAACAUCUCAAUGGAAUUGAACCAGUUUUUGGUUAAUUCUGGUCAAGGGGGUGCAUUGCAGGCUGGUGAAGGCAGUGUGGCAGCUGAGGAAAGGACGGAGGUGGCACCAAAAGCUUGUGAGAACAACAAUGGUGUUAUGGAUGAUGCGGCUUUGGAGAAGAAGGAUGAUGAUGAGAAAAGUGGUGGCACUGAUGGGGACUUCUUUGAUUGUAAUAUCUGUUUAGACCUGGCCAGGGAUCCUGUUGUGACUUGCUGUGGUCAUUUGUUCUGUUGGCCGUGCCUGUAUCGAUGGCUGCAUCUGCACUCGGAUGCCAAGGAGUGUCCGGUUUGUAAAGGAGAGGUGACUUUCAAGAAUGUUACACCAAUAUAUGGUCGUGGAAAUAGUGUCCGCAAUGCUGAGGACGAUCCCACCCUGAAAGUCCCUCUGAGGCCCCCAGCCAGGCGUGUCGAGAGUCUGAGACAAACCAUUCAGAGAACUGCAUUUGCACUCCCUGUGGAAGAGAUGAUUCGUCGUCUUGGAAGCAGGAUUGAUCUCACUAGGGAUUUACUUCACCCGCAUGAACCAGACAAUGCCCGUGAAACAGCAGAAAGAACUAGUUCAUUGCUAAGUAGGUUUUUGACAUCUCGAGGUAUAAGGAGAGAGCAAAACAUUGGGGCUCCUGCAGAUGACGUAGUGGGUUUGACGCAUAAUAAUGUUAAUGUUAAUGUUAAUAGUCAUGAGGCUGGGGAUAAUCGCAGGGCCCAAUCCCUUCUACUUAGAAGAACACAGUCACAUAGGGCAACACUUUCUACCCUUUCAUCAGCACUGAAUUCUGCUGAAAGGCUAGUUGAGGCAUAUUUCCGUAGCCAUCCAUUAGGUAGAAACCAAGAGCAGCCUCCUCCAGUUGAUGAUAGAGAUUCCUUUUCAAGCAUCGGUGCCGUCAUCAAUUCCGAGAGUCAGGUGGACACUGCUGUAGAAAUUGAUUCCAUGGUAUCCUUGUCAACAUCCUCUUCUAGGAGGAGAAAUGAUGCUUCAAGAGUGUCUGAUGUGGAUAGUGGAGACUCUCGCGCUCCAAGGCGCAGACGUUUGAACUGAUAGAAGUUUUAGAGCAAGUUAUUACUUUUUUUUAUCAUGUAACACAUAUGAUAAUAAUUUUCCAACACCUAUAACUAUCUCAUGGGGAAUGGUCAACGGCAAUUUAAAGCUUCUGUCCUUGUUGCCUUGUCAAUAAUGCAGGUUGUGCUAAAAGCAAAGUUGUUGUAGACAAUUAAUUUAUACAGUGAAAAAUUGUGGAUAUACUAGACCAGGCUAGUAGCUAUUAUUGUAUGGUAGAAUGUUAACGCUUUGUUUCAUAAUUAUCCCUUGAAACCCAUGGUAGAUUUUCUUGUCUCGAGAUACAUUGUUUAGAUGGGGGUGUAGCCAUGGUUUUGUUAAGUCUCAUUGAGGGUUCUCUGAUUUUAUGUAUGAAGCGUAGUAUGCAUAUUCCUUCUAAUAAGAUAUUCCUAGGUUCAUAUGAAUGAAUUCCAGUUUAAUGGUUCUGAUUA